GGUUGGCUCAGAAGCAGCCAUCCUUUAAAGAGUGCGUAACAGCUCACUAGUCGAGUGACCCUGCGCCGAAAAUGUACCGGGGCUAAGCCUGAUACCGAAACUGCGGAUUGUAGGAAACUAUAGUGGUAGGGGAGCGUUGUAUACGAGCAGAAGCCGUACCGUGAGGAGCGGUGGAUUGUAUAGAAGUGAGAAUGCCGGUGUGAGUAGCGAGAUGUAGGUGAGAAUCCUACACACCGAAAGCCCAAGGAUUCCAGGGGAAGGUUCGUCCGCCCUGGGUAAGUCGGGACCUAACGCGAGGCCGAAAGGCGUAGUGGAUGGAAAGCAGGCGAAAGAUUCCUGCACCCGUAUAUGGAGCGAAGGAGUGACGGAGACGGAUAGUGUGACCCUCUUAAUGGAUUGAGGGCGAAGCGAAGCGGCUGGUUACCAGGCAAAUCCGGUAACCAAAAGGCUAGAGCGUGACAGGUAAGCGAAAUCUUAGGAAAGUAGCGAAGCACAUGAUGACGGCUUCCAGGAAAAGCUUCUGGCAAUGCAUAUGCGGCCCGUACCAAAACCGACACAGGUGGGCAGGGAGAGAAUCCCGAGGUGAGCGAGAGAACUGUUGCCAAGGAACUCGGCAAAAUGACUCCGUAAGUUAGCGAGAAGGAGUGCUUAAGCAAUUAAGCCGCAGUGAAGAGGCCCAAGCGACUGUUUAACUAAAACACAGCUCUCUGCGAAGUCGCAAGACGAAGUAUAGGGGGUGACACCUGCCCGGUGCUGGAAGGUUAAGAGGAUCUGUUAAGAGCGAUCUGAAGCAGUGAUCCGAAGCCCCAGUGAACGGCGGCCGUAACUAUAACGGUCCUAAGGUAGCGAAAUUCCUUGUCAGGUAAGUUCUGACCCGCACGAAAGGUGUAACGAUUUGGGCGCUGUCUCGGCAGCAGACUCGGUGAAAUCUUAGUACCUGUGAAAAUGCAGGUUACCCGCAACUAGACGGAAAGACCCCAUGGAGCUUUACUGCAGCCUGAUAUUGAAUUCUGGUCAUACAUGUACAGGAUAGGUGGGAGACAAAGAGACGUGCACGCCAGUGUACGAGGAGUCGACGUUGGGAUACCACUCUUGUGUGACCGGGGUUCUAACCUGGUAUCGAGAACAGGUACGGGGAGAGUGUCAGGUGGGCAGUUUGACUGGGGCGGUCGCCUCCCAAAGAGUAACGGAGGCGCCCAAAGGUACGCUCAGAUUGGAUGGAAACCAAUCGUCGAGUGCAAUUGCAGAAGCGUGCUUGACUGUGAGACAAACAAGUCGAACAGGGACGAAAGUCGGGAAUAGUGAUCCGGCGGUGCCGAAUGGAAGGGCCGUCGCUCAACGGAUAAAAGCUACCCUGGGGAUAACAGGCUGAUCUCGCCCAAGAGUUCACAUCGACGGCGAGGUUUGGCACCUCGAUGUCGGCUCAUCGCAUCCUGGAGCUGGAUUCGGUUCCAAGGGUUGGGCUGUCCGCCCAUUAAAGCGGUACGCGAGCUGGGUUCAGAACGUCGUGAGACAGUUCGGUCCCUAUCUGUUGUGGGCGAAGGAGAUCUGCGGAGAGCUGUCCUCAGUACGAGAGGACCGGGAUGGACCUACCGCUGGUGCACCGGUUGUUCCGCCAGGGGCAUAGCCGGGUAGCUAAGUAGGGAAAGGAUAAGCGCUGAAAGCAUCUAAGCACGAAGCCUACUCCAAGAUGAGAUCUCCCAUUCG
rnacentral:rRNA from 1 species